AUUGAACGCUGGCGGCAGGCCUAACACAUGCAAGUCGAGCGAGCGGCGGACGGGUGAGUAAUGUAUGGGGCCUGCCCGAUAGAGGGGGAUAACUACUGGGAACGGUGACUAAUACCGCAUACUAUCGACUAACCCAUAUGGGAUUAGCUAGUAGGUGGGGUAAAGGCUCACCUAGGAGCCGAUCUCUAUCUGGUCUGAGAGGAUGAUAAGUCACACUGGUACUGAGACACGGUACAGACUCCUACGGAGGUAGCAGUGGAGAAUAUUGCACAAUGCGCGCAAGCCUGAUUCAGCCAUGCCGCGUGUAUGAAGAAGGCCUUAGGGUUGUAAAGUACUUUCAGCGGGGAGGCGUUACCCGCAGAAGAAGCACCGGAUAACUCCGUGCCAGCAGCCGCGGUAAUAC
rnacentral:rRNA from 1 species